AAACCUAAUCAUGGUGGAAGAAAAGGAAAAUCAAAAAGUGGAUUCCCCUGGGCUGGCCAAUGGUUUCGCCCAGUUGCCACGGAGACGAGAGUAACACCGGCGGGGCGCAAGGUCAGAGUACAUGGCCACGUUAGCCCGGCUGCAGGCUCGCUCGCGGUUUUUAGAAAAUCAGUAUUACUUUAGGAACAGUGUUGUGGAUGCAUUUAGAAAAAAAGAGAAUUGUGCAGCAGUUAAAAUCCAGAGCUGGUUUCGGGGGUGUCAAGUCCGGGCAUAUAUCAGGCAUUUACACAGAAUAGCAAUAAUUAUUCAGAAAUGGUGGAGAGGUUACUUAAGCAGAAAACACUAUCAACUGAAGGUGGAGGUAGCAUAUUAUACUAUGAAGAUGGAGCUCUACAAUGCAAUGGCUGUCAGGAUUCAGAGACGAUGGCGAGCCUAUAAAGUCCGGAAAUACUGUUUUAAUUAUUUUUAUUAUAAACAGUACUUGAGAGCUGUUUCUGAAGCCAAUGAGACAGUUAGGGAGAUACUGCAGGAGUACGCGGAGAUUCAAGAAAGCGAGGAGAAGAAGGCUGAGCUGGAAAGGGAAGAGAAGCAAAGAGCAGAGGAAGCCCGGAAGAUGCAUUACCUCCUCAGCACAAAGCAGAUUCCAGGCAUAUACAAUUCACCAUUCAGAAAAGAGCCAGAUCCUUGGGAGCUGCGGCUGCAGAGGGCAAAGCCUUUGGUUCCCCAGAGACGGAGAGUCCAGCAGAAGCAGUGUGCAGGGCUGGCCGACUGGCUGGCCUGCACCAGCGCCCGCUCCUUCCCUCGGUCCGGUAGUCUUCCUCCUAUCAAUAGGAAGCCCUGCCAGGGGCCCUUCCGAAAUAUCAACGAAGUGUUAGAGCAGCGCUACAAGCCUUUGGAGCCCACACUGCGAGUGGCACAACCGAUAGAUGAGUUAACGCCGGCCAGACAGGAGUUCCAAGGGCAAGAGUGGGUGCGAAACAUCAGUGACAAAAUGUUUCUGCCAUUUUCUUCCCACCAUAAAAAAGAAAAGUACAUGCCAUCCCUGUUUUCCUCAAGCAAGUACGACCCCAUUUCCUGCAGAAAACAAGGCUUCCGGAGUGAAAACCCGGGGAAAUGGAUCUGUGACAAGGAUUUCCAAACUGUAUUUCCAUCAGUUGAUCUCUUCUCAAAGUAUGGAAAGUCAUAUUCAAGAGCUGGGCAGAUUGUAUAAAGGUUUGGUUCAAGGUGUCUUCCUGUUAAAAUGUGGAACAAUUUUCAGAGCAGAUGAGAUGAGUUUUAAUUUAAUUACUUGUUAGACAUGAAAAACAACAUACGUUCUCCACUUCUGUAAGGAUACGAUAUACAAAUGACCCAAAUCACUGAGAAAAAUAAAGUGAAAAUGAAAAAUAAAUACAGUUAACACCUGGAUUGAGAAAGGGAAAUUGAAAGAGGACACAAUGUAGAAGUGUGGUUAAGCUGUGAAGUGGCUGGGAAAUAACAGCCCACUGCCUGGAGUCCUGACUUCCACUUCCUGCCUGACAAGCAGCCGUGGCCUGAGUCCUGCAAUCCAUCUCUGUCUCUGUCUCUGUCUGUCUCUGUCUCUCUUGCUCUUUCUCUCUCCUGUCAGAAGAAGAGAUUCAAACCAUCUCUGGUUCAUUAGAAAACUUAACAGUUUAACAGGAAAAUACAAAUACAAAUGAUUGUUCUAUAGGAAAUACUUCAACCAAAACUACUCUGAUUCAAUAAACUCUUUUUUUGGAUACAAUCUCACUAUGUAGUUCAGCCUGGCCUUGAACUCACUGUGUAGCCAGGCUGGCCUUGAACUCACAGCAAUCCUCCUGCCUCAGCCUCUCAAGUGCUGGAAUUACAGACAUGUGCCAAUAAGCCCAAGAAACUAAUAUUUUGCACUUCUAGUUAUGGAUUAAUUAUAAUGUGGUGUAUGCAUGGUGGUGGUGGUGAUGUGUUUUAAAUCUCCUAGAUCUAUCUUUGGGAACAAAUGCUUUAACUUGGGCCUUUGACUCUGGUGACCAAAAGUUCCAUAAAUAGUUCCACUGAAGUGGACACAUUCUGACCCCAUCACCCUGGUCACAAAUGAGGAGGCCAGUAUUAGGUCCCCAAAUUAAGGGCAGCUAACUCAUAAGUGAGAAUGAUAAAUGAUUUGAAGUAUGGAUGGUAGGAAGUGGUCUGGCACAAAAGCCCUUCCCUGAAGGAAACAAAGACUCAUGAGACCAAUUAGAAAACCCUCAGACCACUGAACUUAGGACACAGGCAGAACAGAUGCAGGGUAGCAGAUGUGGAGCAGAAAUGAAGGUGCUCUUCGAGGAAGGCCUUUGCAGGUCUCUUCCUGGAGAAGAGCAGCCCAGUGACCUGGCUGGCGGGUCUGCAUCCAGCAGGACUCAGAGCCAGACUAGUUCUCCUGAAGCCAAACUGUUCUAAGGUUCCUGUUGUUAAUGAGAGGCCUGAAUUUUCCUGGAAUCCUUAGAAGUUAACAAUCUAGAUUCCUGUAUUCUUUAUCUCAUCUCAUGUGUAUCCUUUCAAUAAAACUUCCCAC